UGCAAGUUCACAGACACCAUUCCGGUAGGAUCAAUGCCAAUAAGGAAAGGAUUUAGAGAUUUGAAGUUGCAGUUGCAAGCAACGACUAAAAUGACCUUGCAGAACAGAAUGGCGUUGGACAUGUUACUAAUUAAAGAACAUGGUGUUUGUGAAUAUUUGAAAGACAGACUAGACCAUUGUUGUAUUCAUAUUCCUAACGUAACUGCGAACAUAGAAUACGAUAUUUCCCAGUUGACCAAAGUAGAACAAGAAGUGGAAA